AGAAUACUACAAGAUAAAGUGAAGAAGAGAUUGCAGAACUAACAACAGCGCUGGGGCCACAGAGAUGGGGUUUCACUAUGUUGCCCAGGUUGGUCUGGAACUCCAGGAUUCACACAAUCUUCUAGCCUCGGCCACCCAAGGUGCUGGGAUUACAGGCGUGAGCCACCGUGCCUGGUCGAAUGAGGUUUUUGGCAUUGCGCUUGCACUGAAUAAAAGCAAGCAGCUCCAGCUUCUCGGGGCUGCUGUUUGGCCACCAGAGCCAGGCAGUCACCUAGCUGCUCUUAUAGUGCAUACCUGUGUCUGAAUACUCAUUUCAUUCAUCUGCCAGCAUCUGCAGGACAGACCCGGCAGGUGGUGCCCCGUGUGAGGAAUGCUGCAACAGAUUGUGACGAAACCCUCGAGAAUGAAAGUGAAGUGACUGCGCACCCUGCCGUUACCAGGUAAAGGCCCACAGAGGAGACAAAUAUUUUCCCUGAGCCCUCUCUCCCAAUGUAUUGGAAAAAAUACAAGGGAUACACUACUGUUAUCCUGUCUUAGGCAAGUGGAAUUAGAAGGGAGCUCUUAACUUGCCCGGUGAUGCAAGAUCAACAAGGCAAUCAGUAAGAAAUGUACAAACAUUAAGAAGAGCCUAUUCAGAAAAGACAG
rnacentral:antisense_RNA from 1 species